UGAUAUAAGGGUAACCUGGCUGCAACAUUCAUCGCCCCCACUGAGUGCCAGGGUUGAUUUGGCUGAUCUGGCUGGCUAGGCGAGUGUGCCCUUUCUCCCUCCUCACUCCAUGUGUGUUCCUCCUGAAGCUGCACGCUUAGUUGAAGAGGAUGACCUUCCCUGAUAGUGGAGGACCAUUUUUCAGUCAAUGGUAUAUGAAUAGCUGAGCUCUGCUACUAGAACCUCCAAACAAGCUCUCAAAGUCCAUUUGUAGGACAAAUGUAAGGAUAGUCAAACUUUCAAGACUUUCAAGACACAUCCAACUGAGGUCCUGAACAUGGCAGUCUGCCUUUUAAA
rnacentral:snRNA from 1 species